rnacentral:lncRNA from 1 species
GUAAUCCUGCAGAAGAUGCAGUCCUGAUGAAAGAAGUGAAUAUUCCAACUAACUUAAUUUAUUCCCACCUCAGCCAUUGGAAUGGAAGUUUGAAGCAGAAAAUUCCACAUUGUGAAUAACUUUGAAGAUGCUACCAAAAUGUUGGUAUUAUCUCAAAGAAAAAUAUACAGAAUUUCCUGAAAGCUAAUUGAAGUUGUCUGCCUCUUCCAACUACAUAUGUGUAUACAUCCAGGCUUUCUUCAUCUACUUCAAUCAAAACAAAAUAUCUCAACAGAUUGAAUAAAGAAGCAGGUGAGAAAGUGAGCCCUGAGAUGUUCAUGACUUGCUGGUAAGCAGUGGAGGCCACAAUUUAAGCCCACAGUCUUACAUUAAAGCCUAUGUGCUUAAUCACUCUGCUAUGGGAGUUCCUCUAGAAUGUGGUAUUUGAAUGGAACAAAGCAGCAUGCAGUAGUCAGAAACCAUAGGUUCACAAUACUUAAAGAGACGAGGAAUAGGAAGAACAAAUCUCACAGGGAAUAUGCUUGAUAGAUGAGGUACAUUGACUACACGAAAUGCAGUCCAGAGAAAAGUGCCUCAUUUUUCAGUAAAGUGACAUAUUCCUGGUUUAGCAG